GCUUGUCUCAAAGAUUAAGCCAUGCAUGUCUAAGUAUAACUCUUUUACUUUGAAAACUGCGAACGGCUCAUUAUAUCAGUUAUAGUUUCUUUGAUAGUCCCUUACUACUUGGAUACCCGUAGUAAUUCUAGAGCUAAUACAUGCAUCAAUACCCAACUGUUCGCGGAAGGGUAGUAUUUAUUAGGUAUAGACCAACCCUCUUCGGAGGUGCUUUGGUGAUUCAUAAUAACUUUUCGAAUCGCAUGGCUCCAUGCCGGCGAUGGAUCAUUCAAAUUUCUGCCCUAUCAAUUGGCGAUGGUAGGAUAGAGGCCUACCAUGGUGUUAACGGGUGACGGGGGAUUAGGGUUCGAUUCCGGAGAGGCAGCCUGAGAAACGGCUACCACAUCCAAGGAAGGCAGCAGG
rnacentral:rRNA from 1 species